rnacentral:sRNA from 1 species
CUUCGGCGAUAUGUGGCCAAGAAGCUGAAAGAACAAGCAAAGGCACUGGACAUCAGCCUCAGCUCUGGAGAGGAAGAUGAAGGUAAUGAGGAGGACUCAACAGCUGGAACCACAGAGCAGCCCUCUAAGGAGGAGGAGGAGGAGGAACAACUGAACCAGACCUUGGCAGAAAUGAAGGCCCAGGAGGUGGCGGAAUUGAAGAGGAAGAAAAAGAAGCUGUUGCGUGAGCAGAGAAAGCAGCGGGAGCGUGUGGAGCUGAAGAUGGAUCUGCCUGGGGUUUCCAUUGCAGAUGAGGGGGAGACUGGCAUGUUCUCCUUGCGCACCAUCCGGGGUCAGCAGGUGAGGCGGCAUUGCGGGUGCAGGUUUAGGAGACAGAAGGAUCUGUUUGGGUGUUUGGAGGUGGGGGGUGUUGAACGUCUUUUUAAAUUGCUGAACGAUAGGCUGUGGUUGCUGUCUUCACCACAGGGUGCCUUGGUGAGUAUAAGGCCACAAAGAAACAUAAACCAAAAAGGAUGAGUUAGGUAGGUAGAUGAAUGUGAUAGAUUUAUUCUUUUUUUUUUUUUUUUUUUGAGAU